GACGAACGCUGGCGGCGUGCUUAACACAUGCAAGUCGAACGGAAAGGCCCUGCUUUUGUGGGGUGCUCGAGUGGCGAACGGGUGAGUAACACGUGAGUAACCUGCCCUUGACUUUGGGAUAACUUCAGGAAACUGGGGCUAAUACCGGAUAGGAGCUCCUGCUGCAUGGUGGGGGUUGGAAAGUUUCGGCGGUUGGGGAUGGACUCGCGGCUUAUCAGCUUGUUGGUGGGGUAGUGGCUUACCAAGGCUUUGACGGGUAGCCGGCCUGAGAGGGUGACCGGCCACAUUGGGACUGAGAUACGGCCCAGACUCCUACGGGAGGCAGCAGUGGGGAAUAUUGCACAAUGGGCGGAAGCCUGAUGCAGCAACGCCGCGUGCGGGAUGACGGCCUUCGGGUUGUAAACCGCUUUCGCCUGUGACGAAGCGUGAGUGACGGUAAUGGGUAAAGAAGCACCGGCUAACUACGUGCCAGCAGCCGCGGUGAUACGUAGGGUGCGAGCGUUGUCCGGAUUUAUUGGGCGUAAAGGGCUCGUAGGUGGUUGAUCGCGUCGGAAGUGUAAUCUUGGGGCUUAACCCUGAGCGUGCUUUCGAUACGGGUUGACUUGAGGAAGGUAGGGGAGAAUGGAAUUCCUGGUGGAGCGGUGGAAUGCGCAGAUAUCAGGAGGAACACCAGUGGCGAAGGCGGUUCUCUGGGCCUUUCCUGACGCUGAGGAGCGAAAGCGUGGGGAGCGAACAGGCUUAGAUACCCUGGUAGUCCACGCUGUAAACGGUGGGUACUAGGUGUGGGGUCCAUUCCACGGGUUCCGUGCCGUAGCUAACGCUUUAAGUACCCCGCCUGGGGAGUACGGCCGCAAGGCUAAAACUCAAAGGAAUUGACGGGGCCCCGCACAAGCGGCGGAGCAUGCGGAUUAAUUCGAUGCAACGCGUAGAACCUUACCUGGGUUUGACAUGGAUCGGGAGUGCUCAGAGAUGGGUGUGCCUCUUUUGGGGUCGGUUCACAGGUGGUGCAUGGCUGUCGUCAGCUCGUGUCGUGAGAUGUUGGGUUAAGUCCCGCAACGAGCGCAACCCUUGUUCACUGUUGCCAGCACGUUAUGGUGGGGACUCAGUGGAGACCGCCGGGGUCAACUCGGAGGAAGGUGGGGAUGACGUCAAGUCAUCAUGCCCCUUAUGUCCAGGGCUUCACGCAUGCUACAAUGGCUGGUACAGAGAGUGGCGAGCCUGUGAGGGUGAGCGAAUCUCGGAAAGUCGGUCUCAGUUCGGAUUGGGGUCUGCAACUCGACCUCAUGAAGUCGGAGUCGCUAGUAAUCGCAGAUCGGCAACGCUGCGGUGAAUACGUUCCCGGGGCU
rnacentral:rRNA from 1 species